GUUUACUUAGCCACUGUUUUAAAAAAAGGGAUGAAAUAACAAAAACGCAGAGAAGGAAAGGGCUGAGAGAGAGACUAAGUGGGUGAGUGAGUGAGUGAAGCAAGGAAGGAAGGAGCGUAUGAGUUGUCAAGAUGUCAUGCCAAGUAAUUUUAUGCAUCGCCAUUUCCUUGUGUUUUUGCAGAAAACAGUGUGAAUGUUACCCACAGGUCAUGGUGUCAGUGGACGGGCAGAAUGGAGUUUUGUACAGCUCCAACAAUACUGAUGUGAAUGAGAGGGGUGAUGAGCUAUGGAUGCCUCUUACAAAACUGACUCCAGUAUGAGUCAUCAGUGUUGAUCAAGAAAAUCCACAACUAAACCCAUGGGUGGGAAUUAUCUUGGAAGAAAGUUUGGCAAUGGAUGAACUGACCCAUCUCAGGCCUUCUAUGUCCAUUUCUUUUUUUUUCAGACUGAUUUAUGCUCUGCACCUGGACUACCGUAAGUGUGUGAAAAGCACUUUAUAUUUUAUUCAUUAGAUAAUGCUCAACCUCGGACAAGGGGAGCUGGCACCCAAAAUUCUGUACUGCCAGUAUUGUGAACUCAGAGUGGAAAAAAACAUAUUGAUGUAAUCUCUUGUGAUUCUGAGAUAGACUGUUCAUGUGCAAGUUAAUUUGUUAAUCUAGGUUGUUUUUUUGUUUGUUUGUUUUUGUUUUUUCUGUGGAAAUGUUUUCAGGAUAUGAAAAUUUCAUGUUUUGUUUUGUUUUCAAAAUUAACAUUUGGAAUUUAAUUAAAAUAAAACAGAAAAUUGCAUGAAUGUUCUUUUAUUUGUGUGCUUUUUUUUCUAAUUUAACAAAUUGGAAAACUAAAACAACUGAUAUAGAUGUAACCUGGAAAUUAGUACAGUAAACUUAAAUAUACUAGGUGUAAUAAGUGCAAAUUAAUUGAGAUUACAAAACAUUUUAAGUUAAAUGAACUGAACUUAGUAAUUGAUAUUGAAAUUAAUCUUAUUUUUUUUUAGGGCAACCAGUUUCCUCAAGUUUUUUUAAAGUAAAUUAAACUUAUCCAGGUUUAGAAUUUCAUUGUAUUAACAAUUGUAUUCUUCAGAGUAUCAUCUUUUGUGUUCUGCAGAUAAAAGAAAGUCAUACAGAUUUGGAAUGCAAUGCUAGUAAGUAAAUGAUGACAGAAUUUUCUUUUCUUUUUUUUCUUUUUUUUGGGAGGGGGGGGGUGAACUAUCCAUUUAAUACUCUCUUACAACACAGAAUUGAACACAGUAUUGCAGUUUAGAUUUCCUUAGAAGAACCUUCGAAAUCCGGCUCCAAACUAGCCCAGCUGCCAUUCCAAACAUUCUUUUUAACAAAACUAAUAACAAACGUCCUCUUUCCCGUAAGCUGUGUAGACAGUUCAAACACAAAAGCACACACAUGCUUCAGCCAAUAACUUUCACUCUGUUCUUCUGCUGUUAUAAACUGUAUUUCACAUAGCCUUUUUAAGAGCAAAUUCUUUUUCCUUUAUUUUUUAUUUUUUUAAUUACUGGUCAGUCCUGUCUUUGGCAGUAUGUUGAUCUGACAGUAGAGAGCAAAAUAAAGUACAGCUCUAUUGUUGAUAAGAGCAGUUAGCCUGUGGUUUAACUUUUCACAGUCAGUUUUCAUUUUAGAGAGAUUACACUUCAGAGAGGUAUUUCUCCAUUUCAACCAAAACAGAUUGUGGUUGAUGAUGGCCUAUUUGUACACACUGUUUUACCAAAAUCCUGAGUAACAGCGUAAAAAAUCCAGCAAACUAAGCAAUUCUGAUUGGUUUAACGAUGCACGACUGUUCAUCUGAGUUUUUGACUAAGGCAGGUGUGUCUUAGCUCUUAUUUCAAUAAUAUUAGUCAGGAAGUUAAGACAUUUUAUGCCUGAUAUUAUCUCAGUUUCUUGUCAGAAACAUUUCAGUAAGGUGUUAAAAUGAACAUCAAGGAAACAGUGAGAAUGGGAUUUUAUACCAUGUUUAAUGGAGGAACUUCAAAGGCUAUCCUGGAGUUAUAAUUGGCAUAGUUAAAAGUGAAAGCUGCAAGAGAACUAAUAUUCAGAACAUCCUAAAACCAAAGGCCCAACUCUACUCAGCCUAUUUAGUCAGUGUAAAUUCUGUUCAUGACUCUUUAAAGCCAGUGUGCUGUUUUAUAAGUUCAUUCUUGACCUCGGUGAAUGCAAUCAAAGUAGAUAUUAAAAACUCUUGUUAAAUUACAACAUUUUUCUCACCAAAUAUACAAAUACAGUCAGUUGAACUUGACAAAGAAUGAGGCACUGAAAUGCAAACUAGAAAAUAACCAAAACAGUGUGUGGUGAAGACAUAAGGCAGCUAACCUUGUGCUAUAUUGUGAUUUAAUGACUUCCAAAGGGAUUUGGUUGUUUGUAAGCUGGACUGAUUGAUAACCUUGAACAACUAAAGUUUUGGCCAAAUGGAUACCCUAGACAGAAAGAAAUUGAUCCUCACACUUCUUCUGGCCAUUUAUUUUCAGAUACUCUCAAGUAUAUCCAUCCAUCCAUCUAUUUGAAAAGACAUGUUUAACACUAAAACUAAAUGGCCAGAAACACCUUAUAAGUCAAUGAGUGCAGCAUUUACAAAAUCUUAUUUGUUUUUUUUUUGUUUUUUUUUACCUGAUGUAGUCAUCGCAAAUCUUGUCUUGAAAGAAGGACAAUGAGUACAUUUUAUUUUAAUGUUUAUAUUAAACUUAUAUACUCAUCCAAUAAAAC
ensembl:lncRNA